GACGGCCUUCGGGUUGUAAACCUCUUUCAGCACGGAAGAAGCGAAAGUGACGGUACGUGCAGAAGAAGCGCCGGGCUAACUACGUGCCAGCAGCCGCGGUAAUACGUAGGGCGCAAGCGUUGUCCGGAAUUAUUGGGCGUAAAGAGCUCGUAGGCGGUUUGUCGCGUCUGCUGUGAAAGCCCGGGGCUUAACCCCGUGGUGUGCAGUGGGUACGGGCAGACUAGAGUGCAGUAGGGGAGACUGGAAUUCCUGGUGUAGCGGUGAAAUGCGCAGAUAUCAGGAGGAACACCGAUGGCGAAGGCAGGUCUCUGGGCUGUUACUGACGCUGAGGAGCGAAAGCAUGGGGAGCGAACAGGAUUAGAUACCCUGGUAGUCCAUGCCGUAAACGUUGGGCACUAGGUGUGGGGGACAUUCCACGUUUUCCGCGCCGUAGCUAACGCAUUAAGUGCCCCGCCUGGGGAGUACGGCCGCAAGGCUAAAACUCAAAGGAAUUGACGGGGGCCCGCACAAGCGGCGGAGCAUGCGGAUUAAUUCGAUGCAACGCGAAGAACCUUACCAAGGCUUGACAUACACCAGACCGGCCCAGAGAUGGGUUUUCCUCUUUGAGGUUGGUGUACAGGUGGUGCAUGGUUGUCGUCAGCUCGUGUCGUGAGAUGUUGGGUUAAGUCCCGCAACGAGCGCAACCCUCGUUCUAUGUUGCCAGCACGUGAUGGUGGGGACUCAUAGGAGACUGCCGGGGUCAACUCGGAGGAAGGUGGGGAUGACGUCAAAUCAUCAUGCCCCUUAUGUCUUGGGCUUCACGCAUGCUACAAUGGCCGGUACAAUGGGUUGCGAUACCGUGAGGUGGAGCUAAUCCCAAAAAGCUGGUCUCAGUUCGGAUCGUGGUCUGCAACUCGACCACGUGAAGUCGGAGUCGCUAGUAAUCGCAGAUCAGCAACGCUGCGGUGAAUACGUUCCCGGGCCUUGUACACACCGCCCGUCAAGUCACGAAAGUUGGUAACACCCGAAGCCGG
rnacentral:rRNA from 1 species